UCGUCAUUCCGUGUUCUUUUAGAAGGUUUCAGACUGGUCAGCUGAUCGGACUGAGUGUCCCGAAGCGCAAGCGUUAACAUAUUUCACGAAGGGAAACACUCAAAAUUUUUAACCCGAGCUGUAAGAAAAAUGGCCGCCUUUGGAAUAUCAAAAAUAAGAAGAUAUCGACUGCGCUAAUUCCAAGAUAUCGAUAUGUAUGUACAUCCUGAUGAUGACGCACACAUCUGUGGGAUGUAAAGAGUAGGAUGCCACAUCUUCACCUUUAUCGUCCUCCUACCUAGCAACGAGUUUUCGCCUCGCCAAGCGCUCGAAUCAACUACCACUAUGAACACCGACAAGAUUAUCGGAACAUAGACCACCGCUAUCGUUUAUUCCUUUUCUCGUCGUUCUUCUCUGAGAAGAGGACGCUCAGUGUGAAGAGGAUAAAGUCGAAGUUUCUGAAAGAGGCAACAAGCAAGAGAGCACGUCCCAUCAGUUGAUCAAUCGACCGAGAAAGUAACGAUGAGAGAAGAGUCGCGGACAUCUACUCCACGCAAAAGGCGGAUAAGAAUAGAUCCAAGUUGACGCGAAAUCUUCUCCGGAAAAUAGAACCGCAUACAUGUAAAUUAGCAAGUAAAUCGUGAGACUCUAUUUAAGUAUUACGUUAAAUGAAAGAGCCAACAAAAGAUCUCCACCUGAUUGAACCUCUUUCUCUCUUCCGCUUAUAAUGUAAUUUAAAUCAUUCAACGCAUCUGUCGAUUCAAAUCCAUCGAUAAAUUAAUAAUAUUAAUUAAGUAUAUUCUUUUUUUAUAUCUUAAAGU